UGCCUGUUAUUUCAUUGUUUAUAUAAUUGUUUGAUCAUUGAAUAAAUCAAUAGUUCCAGUAAUGCAUUCUGUUUUUUUUUUAACUUAACUGCUAUUGUACAAGGACUUAACAUAAUACUUAUGAUAUAAUGAUGAGAAGGCCUUGAGGGUCAUAAUAACUUUGAUUUUUAAAAUUUUUUUUUUAACUUUUUCGUAAGACUUUAUUAUUUGUUGGUUUUUUUUUUUUGGGGGGAGGGGGGGGGGUUGGAUUUUUUUUUCGUUUAGUAAACACCAAGCUUCUUCCAUCCAUAGUUGGAUAGUGAUAAAUCUACAAAAUAUCAAAACCGUAUAGAUGACAAAUUAACAUGAGAAAAGUACAAUAUCAGCGUAAAUCAUAUAGAGAAAGGUCGUUGCUACGCAAUGGAUACGGUUGCUAGGUAGUUUCUAAGCAUUAAAAAGCUAACAAAAUGUAAGUUAUUUACAACUGUCAUGUAAUCACCUAACAAUAGAUACCUAGCUUUGGUCAACACAUGAGGGGUUGCAUAAACCUUGAAGAGAUAUUAAAGGCUGUGGUUGCUUAGUAUACAGUGCUGUUGCUAAGGGUCAUUCUGGUGGCUAAGAUAUGAUUAAUACUCGUAUUUAAUAAUUCAGAUAAAUGAGACAUUAUAGUUAGAGAUUUCCAUAUAUGUAUUGUACAAUGAUACAUUUUUAUUCAUAUAAAAAAAGACACAUUUUUAAUGAAUAUGGUUAAAAAAAGCGCAUAAAUAGCAGAUUUUAAAUCUGUUGCUAGGCAACCAACAAAUGAUAAUUACAAAAAAAAAUUGUCAUUUUUUUAAGCUUCUAUAUUUAGUCUAUUAAAAUUAUAAAAUUCAAUUCAUUUGGAGAGGGGGCCAAAAAUGGCCCUUAUUGUACCUUGUCCUU
rnacentral:lncRNA from 1 species